rnacentral:tRNA from 1 species
GAGGAUGUAGCUCAAGCAGUAGAGUGCUUGCCUGGCAUGUACAAGGUUCUGGGUUCAACCCCUAGUAUCUUCU